AUGUGUGUACUCGGAAUUGUUUGUGUACCUGUUUUCAAAUUCCAAGUACACAAACAAUUCCAAGUACACACAUG
ensembl:miRNA